UAUAGUUGCGAAAAAAUAAUAAAUUAAUAUAUCAUUGCGAUAAAAUAUGCUUGCUUCGAAGUUAUUUUUGAACGAACCCAUACUUUACAAAUGACACUGACAGUGACAACAUACUAUUGGAAUCAGCGCCAUCGGCCUCGAGUUGAGAAACUAAAUUGAAUGCAGAUAAUUAAUUAUAAUACUGAAACGACAUUAAUUAGAACCUUUAACAUUAUCAAAACAGAAGUACAAGACAUUACAGUAUCAACAAACAGAAACAGAUCAUGCAACAAGAGUUUUAGUGCCAAAUUUGUGAUCUGCGACAUGUGACCAAGGACACGUUUACAACUAAAAUAUCAUGAAUUGUUUGAAUAUUUGAAGACUUUCAAGGAUAAUUAGAGGUCCCUAACAAAUUGGCGGAAGGAUAAUAUUCAAUCAAAGCGGCUCCUAGGAAGUCAACCAGUCAAUUACUAUGUACAUACAACUGCUGCUCAAGUGCCACGUUGAUGACCAUGUUUAGAAGAAAUGAUGAUUAUGUUUAACAUUAUGAAAAGAGAACUAUAUCAAAUGAGGUCUAAGAAGAAUUACUUGCUUUUGUGAUUAAAUGAGAAUUAAAAAAAUUUAUAUUUGUAUUAAAACAAGGUUGAUAUCAGAAAUAUUUUAUUUUCAGUAAUAAUUAUAGUUAAUGGUACAAUUAGUGCAGUUCAUAGUUAUGUUGUGAGUUCUUCCAUGUAAAUUAAGUGUCUGACUAGUCAGGCAUGGUGUAUUUUCAGGUUCCUGCUGUUGUGAUAAUUCCUGUGGGUCAAAGUUAGAGGGGCUAUGUGUAAUCCAAGUGUUGUUGGCAUGUGACGGUCCUGGUUGGUUAACAGGGCUGGGUGUAACCAAAGUGUUGUUAGCAUGUGACGGUCCUGGUUGAGGUUCAGUAUUAACAGGUAUAUUAAGACCAGAUUGGAAUGUGGAUGAAGAAAAUUCUGUGGGCUCUUGCGGCUUUACAUUAAUUGAUUUUGCAAUUUGUUUUCCAAUUUUUAAUUUGUUAUCAACGGAGUUUUCUAUGUAUCCUUCUGCUACAUUACUUGACCGCCAACCUCCAUGCCUCUUCAAAGUUGUUAUGUCAGCUCCUGAGUCGGCAAGUAAUGUAGCAGAGGUUCUCCUAAAUGCAUGUCCAGUGUAAAGAUUUGCAUCAGGCAAAUUUAAGUACUGAGCGAUAUCUCGGCAUAUUCCCAAACUUGUUUAAGCCUAUUACCUGGGCAGUGCACCUUCCUCUUUGAAAAUUCUGAAAGAAACGGUCACUUUUGCCCUUAGAAGACCGCAGACUCUGAUAUUUCUUGACUAUUUCUGCAAAUGGGCCGUCAAUAGUGAAGGAUCUAGGAAUUUUAUUUUUUGUAUUUGGUAUUUUGACAAGAAGUAUGUCCCCAUGUGUUUCUAUAUCUUUUACUGAUACAUUUGUGUGCUCUUCGCGUCUGCAUGCGCUACAGACUCCAAAUAUAAGAGCAACCUAUGAACAAAGUUACAUAUUUAUUAUAUAUUGUACAAUUGUUUAUUUCAUUCUAUUUUUUUUAACUUCCUACUUUAUUUUUAGAGUUAAUUUACUUAAAUUGUGUACAUAUUUUAUUAGAUUUAUAUUUAAGUUUAUACCUUUGUAGCUAGAUGUUGCUGAUCUGGAGCUUCAUUAAUAAACGUCUCAAUUUGUUCAGCUGUUAGUACCUUCGAUUUUUUACUCUGAAAUCCUGCACUUUGCCUUUUUAAGAAAGCAGUCAAUCUGGUGUAAGUUUUUAUAUCUAUGUCAUGUUUUAUAUGCGUUAAUGUGUUUAAAUAAUGUUAGAAGUUAUUUCAAAAGGGUGGGCUGAUUUACUUUUAAACUUUUUUUUCUAGGCAUACCUAUGCUUGUAUCAUUCAGCCAAAUCAAAGAACGAUUUUUAGGAAAGUAAAUAUUUCAUACAUAGAUACCUAAGACAGAGUAGGCUAUAAAAUGCAAAUUCUUAAUAUUUUUUCGUCAUUUAUAUAUUAAUGAAUACUUUAAAUAAAUACUCCUAGUAUUCGUAA